rnacentral:sRNA from 1 species
GAAGUGAUGCUUCGUAAAUAGUUUUCAGGAAGAAAUAAGCAGUGAAAUAAUCAUAGUGUGAAGGUUUCACACAGAAAAGGCGACCCGUUGGCAGGUCGCCUUUUUUAUGGCG